GCUCCCUUUGGGAGCACACACAGUGCAAUUGGAAGGAUACAGAGAUCAGCAUGUGCCCUGCACCAGGAUAACGUGUAAACCCAAGAAGAUGGAUCUGCUCUC